rnacentral:tRNA from 1 species
UCCGAGAUAGUUUAGUGGUUAGAAUCCUCGCUUGUCGCGCGGGGGACCGGGGUUCGAUUCACAGUCUCGAAG